UACGGAGGGUGCAAGCGUUAUCCGGAUUCACUGGGUUUAAAGGGUGCGUAGGCGGGCAGGUAAGUCAGUGGUGAAAUCUCCGGGCUUAACCCGGAACUGCCGUUGAUACUAUCUGUCUUGAAUAUCGUGGAGGUAAGCGGAAUAUGUCAUGGUAGCGGUGAAAUGCUUAGAUAUGACAUAGAACACCCAUUGCGAAGGCAGCUUACUACACGAUCAUUGACGCUGAGGCACGAAAGCGUGGGGAGCAAACAGG
rnacentral:rRNA from 1 species